CCUUCCUUGUCUCUCAUUUUGCAAACCCUGCAUUUCCCGAAACCCUAGAAAUCUAAUUUCGAUUUCAAUUCAGUCAAAUUCCUGCAAUUGAUUCGUUGAUGAUGGCCCACGGAAAAGUCAGUCUCACUCAAGAACUCCUCCCCUCGCCUAUCUUCUCCGCCACCAAAGGUUUUUCUUCUCUUUAAUUUUAUUCCAUUCUUUGCUAGAUCUUUCUCUCUGUGGUGUUUUCGGUUCUUGUGCAUCCGCAGUUUUGAUUUGUUGAGUUCAUGUGAUGUUUGGAAGGCUGAAGAAAUUAAGGUUGAAGAAUCAGUUGUUUGGCUUCCAAUGAGAGUUGGAGUACAAGAAUAACGGCUCCACCAACACGGCGGUUAUGGAUUGGAUUCAUGGUUCCAGUUACUGAAUUGAUUUUAGCAACUUUCUAUUUAAACAAUCAACUUCCUGACUUCCUUGGGGGAGAUUGCUCAUAUGUCCAAAUGAAGGCUGGUGCUUAGGUCUAGCAAGGGACCCUUGAAUGGUUAAGAAAUUAUGAAAGUAUGAUUUUAGUGGAGUAUGUUGCUGUCACAAAUAUUGAUACUUGAGAUAUCAAUACUUUGAACUAAUAGGUGGA
rnacentral:lncRNA from 1 species